CAAAGUAUAGUUUAAUAAAAAAUGUUAGUUUUGGGAAUUAAAGAUACUCUUAUAGGUUACUUUGA
rnacentral:tRNA from 1 species